rnacentral:rRNA from 1 species
GAUGAACGCUGGCGGCGUGCCUAAUACAUGCGAGUCGAGCGAACAGACGAGGAGCUUGCUCCUCUGACGUUAGCGGCGGACGGGUGAGUAACACGUGGAUAACCUACCUAUAAGACUGGGAUAACUUCGGGAAACCGGAGCUAAUACCGGAUAAUAUAUUGAACCGCAUGGUUCAAUAGUGAAAGACGGUUUUGCUGUCACUUAUAGAUGGAUCCGCGCCGCAUUAGCUAGUUGGUAAGGUAACGGCUUACCAAGGCAACGAUGCGUAGCCGACCUGAGAGGGUGAUCGGACACACUGGAACUGAGACACGGUCCAGACUCCUACGGGAGGCAGCAGUAGGGAAUCUUCCGCAAUGGGCGAAAGCCUGACGGAGCAACGCCGCGUGAGUGAUGAAGGUCUUCGGAUCGUAAAACUCUGUUAUUAGGGAAGAACAAAUGUGUAAGUAACUAUGCACGUCUUGACGGUACCUAAUCAGAAAGCCACGGCUAACUACGUG